GUGGGGAAUCUUGCGCAAUGGGCGAAAGCCUGACCCAGCAACGCCGCGUGAAGGAAGAAGGUCUUCGGAUCGUAAACUUCUAUCCUUGGUGAAGAUAAUGACGGUAGCCGAGAAGGAAGCCCCGGCUAACUACGUGCCAGCAGCCGCGGUAAUACGUAGGGGGCAAGCGUUGUCCGGAAUGAUUGGGCGUAAAGGGCGCGUAGGCGGCCUGGUAAGUCUGGAGUGAAAGUCCUGCUUUUAAGGUGGGAAUUGCUUUGGAUACUGUCGGGCUUGAGUGCAGGAGAGGUAAGUGGAAUUCCCGGUGUAGCGGUGAAAUGCGUAGAGAUCGGGAGGAACACCAGUGGCGAAGGCGACUUACUGGACUGUAACUGACGCUGAGGCGCGAAAGUGUGGGGAGCAAACAGGAUUAGAAACCCGUGUAGUCC
rnacentral:rRNA from 1 species